UACUAAGAUGGAAGCUUGCCUUUGGGGAG
rnacentral:piRNA from 1 species